rnacentral:lncRNA from 1 species
CAAAAUACAUGAUAGGUACAUGUAGAAUCUAAAAUCUACUGCUAGAAAGAAGUAGACACCUCAUCAUAUAUCACUAAGACAUCAUCCUCUAACUUGCUACUGGCCGUCACUGCAGUAGCUCUCGUCUGAUCUCUUCAUUAUGGAUAAUCUCUGGCUAGAUAUCCUAACUCAUCGCAUUAAUAACAUCUGAUCUUACUCAAGUCUCUCAUUCUAAAUUUGGACCACUCUCGUUAUGAUC